CCCCCUACGGGAGGCAGCAGUGGGGAAUAUUGGGCAAUGGACGCAAGUCUGACCCAGCAACGCCGCGUGAAGGAAGAAGGCUUUCGGGUUGUAAACUUCUUUUAAGGGGGAAGAGUAGAAGACGGUACCCCUUGAAUAAGCCACGGCUAACUACGUGCCAGCAGCCGCGGUAAUACGUAGGGGGCAAGCGUUAUCCGGAAUUACUGGGUGUAAAGGGUGAGUAGGCGGCAUGGUAAGCCAGAUGUGAAAGCCUUGGGCUUAACCCGAGGAUUGCAUUUGGAACUAUCAAGCUAGAGUACAGGAGG
rnacentral:rRNA from 1 species